rnacentral:rRNA from 1 species
AGCAGUCGCCGCGGUAAUACGGAGGGUGCAAGCGUUAAUCGGAAUUACUGGGCGUAAAGCGCACGCAGGCGGUCUGACAAGUCAGAUGUGAAAUCCCCGGGCUUAACCUGGGAACUGCAUUUGAAACUGUCAGGCUGGAGUCUUGUAGAGGGGGGUGGAAUUCCAGGUGUAGCGGUGAAAUGCGUAGAGAUCUGGAGGAAUACCGGUGGCGAAGGCGGCCCCCUGGACAAAGACUGACGCUCAGGUGCGAAAGCGUGGGGAGCAAACAGGAUUAGAUACCCGCGUAGUCCCUGUCUCUUAUAA